UCAAGACACUUACAAAUAUAGCUGUUGUGGUUUUAUAUACCAGUGGGAGUUCUAUACGAGUAGCACAGGAACAAUUGAGGCCCAAGUUUGGCGACCAGGUUCUGGAAAUAUGUAUACACUGGUAGGAUCGAAUACAUUGACAGCGACAAACGCUUGGACCGAGACAAUUCAAAGUAUUUCUAAUGGACAGAGAGUUCGGACGAAUGCAAACGACUAUGUGGGAUUACAUUCCACAGGCAGUUUCAUCAUCACUCAUAAAAACGAAGGAAACAAUAAAAAUAGGUUGAAACUAACAGGCGAAACAUCAUCUAUGCCAUCAUCGAAAGACUGGUCAGGUGCGAAUGACGAAGAUGAAAAAUAUGCUAUAUACU